GAUGAACGCUGGCGGCGUGCCUAAUACAUGCAAGUCGAGCGAACGGACGAGAAGCUUGCUUCUCUGAUGUUAGCGGCGGACGGGUGAGUAACACGUGGAUAACCUACCUAUAAGACUGGGAUAACUUCGGGAAACCGGGGCUAAUACCGGAUAAUAUUUUGAACCGCAUGGUUCAAAAGUGAAAGACGGUCUUGCUGUCACUUAUAGAUGGAUCCGCGCUGCAUUAGCUAGUUGGUAAGGUAACGGCUUACCAAGGCAACGAUGCAUAGCCGACCUGAGAGGGUGAUCGGCCACACUGGAACUGAGACACGGUCCAGACUCCUACGAGAGGCAGCAGUAGGGAAUCUUACGCAAUGGGCGAAAGCCUGACGGAGCAACGCCGAGUGAGUGAUGAAGGUCUUCGGAUCGUAAAACUCUGUUAUUAGGGAAGAACAUAUGUGUAAGUAACUGUGCACAUCUUGACGGUACCUAAUCAGAAAGCCACGGCUAACUACGUG
rnacentral:rRNA from 1 species